GCUUUUACUGUUUAGGAUAUGAACCCCACCCCAUUUGAUAUCGUAGGUGAGACAUUGUCUCACAAUUGCAUAUAAUUGUGGCUAGAACCAAAGUUCUGACCGCCUCGGUAUUUCUUUGACGAUCUCCGACUUCAAGCCAACGACCGCCUUCGACAUCACUUUUGUAUGGUAACUGACCAUAUUCCCGACUUGAAGAAGAAGAUGAAGCUUUGAGAUUUGGGGUCUCGAAUCCUCACCGUCAACACCCACCCACUCCUCGACUUGGGGUCUUGUUCAACCUCAGCUAUAGUGAAGAAUCGCCAGCUCCUUCUCCGACCAGCGAUGGUGCUGCUACAUCUGUUUUGGCAAAAGAUGGUAAUUAGGUCUCGAUCCAGGGCUAUGAAGACAGCAUAUCCUUUAUAGGAUGGGGUGGAUUUAGAAAGUUUGCUACUGGACAAGUACCAAGUAUUGAAGUAACCGGAGGGAAUGAUAUUCAUGUGCUGAUGUGGUUUUGCUCAGAAUUCUUCUUAGGAUAAGGCCCGACCAUGCUUGAACUCGUCAGUGUGAACCUUACCAAGAGGAUGAGAACGAAGACCCAAAAGCUCUUAAUCUGCAAAAGAAAAAAUAAAAAUAAACCCCAGAAGCUUAUUUC